CGCACAUUGCGCCCUGCAUUCCGAAGGGCAUGCCUGUUCGAGCGUCAUUAUCACCCCUCAAGCCUGGCUUGAUGUUGGACUUUUUGGUCGAGACCUCCGGGUCCUCCGACCGGUCCCAAAGACAAUGACGGCGUCCGUUGGACCCUCGGUACAAUGAGCUUUAUCCAAGGCACGUAUCGAGUUGCAAGGUCCUCCGGCACGGUCCUUAACCUUUUAUCUUUCUUAAGGUUGACCUCGGAUCAGGUAGGGAUACCCGCUGAACUUAA
rnacentral:misc_RNA from 1 species